rnacentral:lncRNA from 1 species
GCUGUUGAGACUCCAGGGGUGUUCGGGGCUGGGAGCCUGCUGAGUGUUCCCUGUUCCCACCUCCAAUCUGCUCCAUCCUCCAGCUGCAUUUCAUUCCGGAUCUACCAGCAGGAUCCAACUUUACUACUGUCAUGGAGGGAAUUACAGUAAUUCUACCAACUUUUGAGGCAACCUUCUUCUGACACUGUGUGAAACAGACUGAAAAGACUCUAAAGAUGGAGAGAGCUCAAUGCUUGAGAAAAGGAAUUCUGUCCUUUGAAAGGUCUCUAGAACAAAGGAGUCUUAUUCUGUCACCUAGGCUGGAGUACAGUGGUGCAAUCACAGCUCACUGCAGCCUCGAUCUCCUGGACUCAACUAAUCCUCCUGCCUCAGCCUUCUGGGUAGUUGAGACUACAGAAGAUGAGAGAGAGAAAAAGAGAGAAAUUACAGAGUGACGGAGAAGGCAGACAUCAUGCAACAUGCUCAAGGGCUAUUCAUUUUAAGCUGAAACAUACAUGUGUAGAAAGCAUCCUUGUACUUAUAAUCCCAAUGACUAUGAAGAAAAAUAAUUUAGCCAAAUAGUUCCUAGAACAGGAAAAAUAAGGAAUUAUAUUUUGAGAUAAGAAGUUAAGCUCUAGUAUAACAAUGAUAUGGGUCAAAGAAAAAUGAAAACAAAUUUUAAAAACGUUGCAACAUGAAUAAAAGUUUCACCAAAUCGGGAGUCUAUUAUAA